AUUGAACGCUGGCGGCAGGCCUAACACAUGCAAGUCGAGCGGAUGAGGGGAGCUUGCUCCCUGAUUUAGCGGCGGACGGGUGAGUAAUGCGUAGGAAGCUGCCCGAUAGAGGGGGAUACCAGUUGGAAACGACUGUUAAUACCGCAUAAUGUCUACGGACCAAAGUGUGGGACCUUCGGGCCACAUGCUAUCGGAUGCGCCUACGUGGGAUUAGCUAGUUGGUGAGGUAAUGGCUCACCAAGGCGACGAUCUCUAGCUGGUUUGAGAGGAUGAGCAGCCCCACUGGAACGGAGACACGGGACAGACUCCUACGGGAGGCAGCGGUGGGGAAUAUUGGACAAUGGGCGCAAGCCUGAUUCAGCCAUGCCGCGUGUGUGAAGAAGGCCUUCGGGUUGUAAAGCACUUUCAGCGAGGAGGAAGGGUGGUGUGUUAAUAGCACAUCAUUUUGACGUUACUCGCAGAAGAAGCACCGGCUAACUCUGUGCCAGCCGCCGCAGUAAGAC
rnacentral:rRNA from 1 species